UACAGGGGGCCCGAGCGUUAAUCGGAAUCACUGGGCUUAAAGGGUGCGUAGGCGGAUCAGGAAGUGUUUCGUGAAAACCCCCGGCUCAACCGGGGAACUGCGGGGCAAACUCCUGAUCUUGAGGGAAGUAUGGGCGGACAGAACUAUCGGUGGAGCGGUGAAAUGCGUAGAUAUCGAUAGGAAUGCCGAUGGCGAAGGCGGUCCGCUGGGCUUCUCCUGACGCUCAGGCACGAAAGCGUGGGGAGCAAACAGG
rnacentral:rRNA from 2 species